rnacentral:lncRNA from 10 species
UUGACAUCCCAAGGAGAGCAGAAGCAAAGGUAUGAUGAGGAAGAUAAAAAGUGAACAGCCUUCUCCAGCUCUUUUUUUUCUUCAUUGACAGGAUUGUUUUCUUCCAUCUGUGCAAAGUUCUACUUCCAUAGGGCAGGCCUUGUGCUGACCCAUGGAGGGCAUUGGAGAGGAAUCUUACUUGGUUUUUCUUGUAAAUUGCCAUCAGCAGAAAUUUGAUGGGUCAUUGGCCAAUGCAUUCAUGAGUUUGGAGGGAGACAACUAAAACUUUACUGAGCUAGGCCAGACCACAAAGGUCUGGACCAGGUUUUCAGAUUGCUAAAAAUAACAAUUCUGACUUAUUAAUUACUGAGGCAGAACAGGAAUGAUAUACAUGAAGGACUAGGCUCUGAAAUGCCUCAGGGAGGCUGUAGAAGUCAGUCAAUGCCACAGUACCGCUGUGCAGCCAUCCCCACCCCCACUCCUCAGCUCGGUGGCUGAAAAACACAGAAUUAAUUUGUGCUCACACAUCUUUGGGCCAGCUAGAGUUUCAUUAAACUGAUCUGGGUUCCACUAAACUUAAACUUUGGGCCACGGAUUGAGGUCAGAGUCUCUUGUUCUGUAACGAGUAGGCAACUCAGGAACUUUCUAUCAUGGCUAUGGGAAAAGUGCAAGAAGACAAGUCCAAUCCUGCAUGCACAUUUCAAAUCACAUUUCAAUUGUACUAACAUCCCACUAUCUAAAACAAGUUCCAUGGCCAAAUCAAAGGUCAGCAGCCAGGGAAACAUUUUCUGUCUAUUCUGAGCCCAUGGCAAGAACUUGGAUGGAUGAUACUACAAGGGAGUGAAAAAUUGGGAACAAUAAUUCUAUGCCAAAGAAUAAUGCCAAAUAAUACCACUAAUGCCAAAGAGGCAUUCCUGAAUUGGUAGGUUAUGCAGCCUAUGUGGAGAAAGCAAAUUCUCUGGUUAGGAAAGCCCCAAACCAGAGACCUAGGGCUUUCUGUAAUGUUUUAGGCCAGUGAAAAGCGUAAGGUCGGAAAUCAGGUCCCCACUCAAGGAUGUCAUAUAAAGAUGUUGUCAUUAUAGCACACUUACAUCCUCCCAUAUUCUAUUUUUAACUGAGUCUUCAGGAGUACCUGAGGUUUCAACAUAACAGGGUAAGGUAAAGCCUUCCACGUGUUUUUUAAAUCUUUGUUUCUCUCUAGCAUGUUUUGUUCCACAAAGCUAAGGGCCAGGAAACCGUUUCUUUUUAUUAAUGAAACAAAUCUGUUCCUUGCUAUAGACAAUUUUUACUUUGUAGAGAUCUUAUUCCCUUCUUUGUGAGAACUUUCAGGAUGCUCAUGGAUAGCUCUGGCCAUGACAGUUUUAAUAGAGCUUCUUUUUCCUCUUUUAUUUAUGAUUUCUCUGUUUCACUACAUGGUUUUCAGUUUUACUGCCACUGAACAUUCAUUGCAGGCUGCCUUGAUUCAGUUUUGAAAGCAGACAAGCAAAGAAAGAAGGAGGGAGGGAGUGGAAAAGGAAGAAAUAAAAGAGAAAAAAGAUUGAACUUGGUAUCAUGUCUUGUCCUUAUGUUAAAUAAUAUUACAAUCAGGCAUAUUUUUUGGUCCUUAAUAUUAAACAACACUGAGAACAAGCAACAGUAACUUAGUUCCUGGAAGAUCCUUGCUCUUGGAAGAUAAUACCAACAGCCAACUAAAAUAGCUUACUUGUCAAGACUAAUAGUUUGCUCAUCAGAACUUCCUUCUGGAUCCCCAUAGUCCUAUUCUCAUCAACCCAAAGCUACUAUUGUAUAAACUCUGUCUUGCAAGACCCACCUUAAAAAAUGACCCAAUCUGGGCCCUUCCAUAAAUAUUCUCUCUCAUUAUUUCCCCUUGACCUUAUCGAGAUUGUGUUAUCCAGUACUGCAACAAAUCUAAUAAACUUAGAUUUGAAUAAUCAAUAGAUUUGUGGUCUUUAGGGAAAUCAUUAUUCAGCAGAAAAAAGCAAGUUUUUUAUUUGUAAAAAUCAGCCAUUGUCUUGUAUAUUUAUAUACCUGUGUAAGCUACAGAACAUACUCUGGCAAUAACCUAAAAUGCUACCAAUUUCAACCUUGUCAAAUACAUUAGUCAUCUCUGACUUUUGAUAGGAAAAGACACAUAUAACAACUGAAAAAAUUCAUUAAAAUGUGUGGUGGUUAUUAAGAAAGAUGAAGUUAUAUUUAUAAAACUAGCAAGUCAGUUUGAAAUAUUUUGACUUAAAAAGAUGAAUUGGGAAAUCUUUUUUUCUUUAUUUUAGGGUCAAGAGGUACAUGUGCAGAUUUGUUACAUGGGUAACUUGCAUGUCACGGAGGAGGUUUAGUGUACAUUUGUUUUUGUCACCCAGGUAAUCAGCAUAAUACACAAUAGGUAGUUUAAGUGAAGUUUUCUUCAACGCUUUUAGUCAAAGAGCAUGGAAACCAACUGUACGUGUGACUGACUUUCUUCCUCCCUCCAGGGGAGCCAUCUGUGAGCCACACUCUUGUCUCAUUCCUGUGGGCAUCUCUCUGCCUCUGUGCAUGGCGUUCAGGCAACAGAGCCUGUGGCAGACUGUAGGGCUAAUCACCUAAACUGGUGACCCUGUUUGGGUUGGAAAGAUUACCAAUGUGUUGAUGUCUGUGCACCCAUUGUUGUGUGUGGAAAGAUGGUGGAUUCAGGUAAGACAACUAUCAGAGAUCCAAUUAACAGGUAACCAGAACAUCCAGAAACUCGCAACCUUUUUUGCUUCUACUUUACAUUUCAGAGGCGUGAAGUGGUUGAUUCUAUCCUUGGUUUCAGUUUUAAAAUGGCCCUACAUGCUAUUUCGUAAAUUAUUUUUCCACAUUUAUCAUUUCAACAAGAUGUGCUGUGGGAAGAUCCUUCCUGCAUAUGCUGUCUAUUCAUGCUGAUUUUUGUGUUGCAGUUCUGACCUUCUCAUUUAUCUAAUGUGCAGCUGUCAAGGGCCUAUCAUGACUUAAAAUGUGUAACCCUAUGUUGGCUUUUGGAGCCAACAGAUUUGAAGUAAAGUUAUCCCUAAAGAAAAUUUGGCUUCCCCAAUUUUAAAUUGGUGAAAUAAUGAAACUUAG